rnacentral:lncRNA from 1 species
GUGGGUUUCAUAGCUGUGUGUUUUCAUUUGGCUCCUCUUCCUUGGGGAUUGCCUUGUCUCCUAGCAAGAUUCAGGGUGCUGGGGACUGUGGCUGUAUUUCUUCAGCAGUUCAGAGUCUUUGGUUUAUUGGUCAUCAUCACCCACUUGUGGAAAAGACACAUUCAUGUGUCCAGCACAUGUCUUGUCUAUCCCCGGCUCCAUCUUAUGCCUGCGGGAGGGGAGAUUCUAGUCCCCACACCGUGUUGUGAGGGUUUGGGAAGGACCUGAAGCCAGCAGGCAGCCUUCAUUGUGAGAGCUAUGCUCUGAUCCCAAAGCUGACUUUUCCAUGCCAGGUUUCCCCAUUGCCCUAGGAUCUGGUGUCCCUGGUGGAACUUCGUCCCGUGUCUAUGUGCUCUGGAGGCUUAGGUGUAGGAUCCCUGGAUGACUGGUGGGGAAAGGCUGGGGGACCCUGUUGUCCAGCCUUCUUCUUUCACAGAGGUGGAAACCAGGGCCCAGAGCCAUUAAAUACUGCCUUCCGGGCAUUUCAGAGCCCGCUGCUUCUAUUUUUCUAUUCUCAGUCUGUCAGAGAGACCAGUAAGUACCAGAAUUUUGACUUCCCAGAGCCUAGGAGAGUGUAUGGCAUAUGACAGGUGUUUAUUAAUGUGUGUUCGUGGGAAGAACAAAUUGUGUCGCUUUCAUUGUCUUUCAAUACAAUGAAGAUCAGUUCCUCUCCUGGGCCCCACUUCAUAGAAAUAUGCAUUCCUGACUUCACAAAUGGAACUGCCCAAGAAUCCCCACUCAUGUUUUCUCCCCGGAGCUUCCCCUGCACCCACAUUCUCUGCAUUGGUUAGGAAUAUCCUCAUAGGCGCAACACUCCUGAAUAGCAGACCUUACACUUGUACCCCGACAGGCCUCCUUGUUCCCUGAAGCUAACCCUGGGCCUGGCUUUGGGGUUUGCAGCCGGAUUUGUCAUCUUCUGUCUGCCAGUUUCACUGACUUGGUUAUUCCAAGGAAUUCCUGGGACUUCCCUUUGUUAAAAAAUAAACGUUAGGAAUGAGAAGAGGAACUAGCUACUGCCUGUGUCUUCACUCUGAGUGACUGAGGGAACUUCAUUAAAUCUCAGAUUCCCCUAACGAUCCUGAGAAUGAAGGUGAACCCACAGUCCUGUAGAACAUUCUCUCUGACUGUUGAGCACUCCGCUUUGUACCAGGUGUUCUCAUCAAGUGUGCAAGCCCCUUUUAUGCUCAUACGACCCUCCCAACAGCCCUAGGAUGUGAAGCUGCUAUUGUCCGCAUUUGCAGAUGAGGAGACUCAGGCUCAGGGAGGUUGAGUCCCCAGGGAGGCUCAGGCCACUGGAGAUGCCUGUGGACAAGGGUGCCUGUUUGUAUUUGGCCUGGACCUGCUCCCAGCAUGCUGGGGUUUAAACCUGGGCAGUUGGGAGCCAUUAAAAAAUGAAAAGGGGUCAGGUGUGGUGGCUCAUGCCUGUGAUCCCAGCACUUUGGGAGGCCAAGGGGGGGAGAUCACUUGAGGCCAGGAGUUCGAGACCAGUCUGGCCAACAUGAUGAAACCCUGUCUCUAAUAAAAAUACAAAAAUGAGCCGGCCGUGGUGGUACGUGCCUGUAAUCCCAGCUACUUCAGAGGCUGAGGCAGGAGAAUUGCUUGAACCUGGAAGUGGAGGUUGUGCUGAGCUGAGAUUGCACCACUGCACUCCAGUCUGGGCGACAGAGUGAGACUCCGUCUCAAAAAAUGAAAAUAAAUAAAAAUAAAAAUGAAAAGGAUGGGCUGGGCGUGGUGACUCACCCCUGUAAUCCCAGCACUUUGGGAGGCUGGUCUCGAACUCCUGACCUCAGGUGAUCUGCCUGCCUCGGCCUCCAAAGUGCUGGGAUGACGGGCGUGAGCCACCGCACCUGGCCUGAACCAUUUUAAAGUGUACAAUUCAGUGGCUUUCAGAACAUUCACAGUGUUGUGCAAGCCCUACCUCUGUCUGGUUCCAAAACUUUUUCAUCACCCCAAAAGGAGAUGGUGGCUCUUUCAAGACGCCAGCUUUGGCAUCAACUGGACCUUCUGGUUGUCUGACUUCGGACAAGCAUUGUAAUUUCCAGCCUUUGUUUCCUCACCUUUAAAAUGGAAAUAAUGUUGAUCACCUUACGGGCCUUUUUAAAAAGAACUUGAUUGAGGUAUGAUGUAUGUACCUCAAAAUCAAGUCAUCCUAAGUGUACUUUUUCAGUACUUUUUCGUGAAUUUGUGGAGUUGUGCACCCAUUACCACAAUCCCAAUUUUAGAACGUCUCUAUCAUUUCCUGUUCCCAUCUCCAGCUCUGUGUAACCACGAGUCUGCUUUCUGUCUGUAUGGGUUUGCCUUUUUUAGACAUUUAUACCAAUGGCAGCUGACAGUACAUGGUCUUCAUGCCUGGCUUCUUUCACUCAGCAUCCUGUUUCCGAGGUUCAUCCAUGUAGUUGCGUGUGGCAGCGCUUCAUUCCUCUCUGUGGCUGAGGAAUAUUCCAUUGUGUGGACGGACCGUGUUUUGAUAAUCCACUCCUCUGUUGAUGGACAUAGGGGUUGCUUCCACCUUCCAUGAUUCAUAUUUACUACUGUGUGUCAUUCUCAGUACUGUGGCACUGUGCUGGUACACAUAAGUGCUUAAUAAUUGUGGUUAGCCGGGCGUGGUGGCUCACGCCUGUAGUGCCAACACCUUGGGAGGCCAAGCUGGGCGGAUCACUUAAGGCCAGGAGUUUGAGACCAGCCUGGCCAAUGUGGCGAAACCCUGCUUCUACUAAAAAUACAAAAAAUAGCUGGGUGUGGUGGCAGACGCCUGUAGUUCGAGCUACUUGGGAGGCUGAGACAUGAGAAUGGCUUGAACCCUGGGGGCAGAGGUUGCUGUGAGCCAAGAUUGCGCCACUGCACUCCAGCCUGGGCAACAGGCUUUUCUCUCAAGAAAAAGAAAAAUGGUGGUCAUUGUUUAUGUUAUUUCCUUAUGGGCUUUUUUUUUUAAUGUGGAUGAUUUUCUUACCUUUAGACGUGUUAUUUGUGGUUUUGAUAGCUUUUUUUUGUCAAGCUGUCCGUCAUCGUUCUGAAAUUUUGUUUGUUAAAGUCUUAUGAUCCACAUAUGGCAGUAACUGUGUAUCAUCAUGGCUUAAGGGUGUCUGAUAAGCCAGGUCACCUGGUUCCCUCAUUCAUGCCACAAGCGUUUACUGAGUGCAUCAUGGGUGCCUGCGGGUUCUAUGGGUGAAACCUGUGUACUGCAAGAGGAAAGACUGACUGCAUCCAUUUUGCUGAGCCCUGUAGCCCCACAGCCUGGCGUGGUAUUUGUUGAAAGAAGGCAGAGCCUCUACCCUCGUGUAACUCAGUGCGGGUGGAGAGCCCAUGGCAGACCCAGGACUGGAGGCUCCUGCGUCAUUAGGAACAUUGGUGGCUGAAGCUUGCUUGUCCCAGCUGGCGAGAGCCAAUUACGCCUGUCUCCUUCCACCUCCACGUAUGGUGACAUCACUUUGAUAGCUUGACGUCAGCCACUGGGGGACUAUUUACAUCAUGGAUAUGGGCAAAAGACACCAAUCUGAGCUUUUGUCCUUUUCUUUUUUUUGGAGUGCCUGCACACCCGUGAGCCUUUCCAACCUCGUAACCUAUUAUUUUCCUGACGAGAUAGUUUUUUACAGAUGAGAAAGUUGAGGCACAGAGAAUUGAAGGGACUUGGCCAAGGUAACAGCCCAAAUUCAAGCCCCAGCUUCCUCGGGCCAUCCCCACGGACAUGGGAAGACGCAGCAUCAGAUCUGCCCCACUCCCUCCUCCCAGUCAGGUUUUUUCUGCCAGAUGACUCUGCUGUUCAAUUUCCAUUGACUCUGCUGCUGAAUUUCCAUUGACUGACUCUGCUGCUGAAUUUCCAUUUCCAUCUCUCAUCAGGGUUUUCAGUGCUUUGCUUCCCAGUGUGUUGCCUGAGCCACCCUCACAUCCUGUGCCUUCCUUCUUAAUAGGAACGCUGUGUUUUCCUUUGUUCUUGCAGAAUUUCGCUAAGGAGUUUGUGAUCAGUGAUCGGAAGGAGCUGGAGGAAGAUUUCAUCAAGAGCGAGCUGAAGAAGGCGGGGGGAGCCAAUUACGACGCCCAGACGGAGUAACCCCAGCCCCCGCCACACCACCCCUUGCCAAAGUCAUCUGCCUGCUCCCCGGGGGAGAGGACCGCCGGCCUCAGCUACUAGCCCACCAGCCCACCAGGGAGAAAAGAAGCCAUGAGAGGCAGCGCCCGCCACCCUGUGUCCACAGCCCCCACCUUCCCGCUUCCCUUAGAACCCUGCCGUGUCCUAUCUCAUGACGCUCAUGGAACCUCUUUCUUUGAUCUUCUUUUUCUUUUCUCCCCCUCUUUUUUGUUCUAAAGAAAAGUCAUUUUGAUGCAAGGUCCUGCCUGCCAUCAGAUCCGAGGUGCCUCCUGCAGUGACCCCUUUUCCUGGCAUUUCUCUUCCACGCGACGAGGUCUGCCUAGUGAGAUCUGCAUGACCUCACGUUGCUUUCCAGAGCCCGGGCCUAUUUUGCCAUCUCAGUUUUCCUGGACCCUGCUUCCUGUGUACCACUGAGGGGCAGCUGGGCCAGGAGCUGUGCCCGGUGCCUGCAGCCUUCAUAAGCACACACGUCCAUUCCCUACUAAGGCCCAGACCUCCUGGUAUCUGCCCCGGGCUCCCUCAUCCCACCUCCAUCCGGAGUUGCCUAAGAUGCAUGUCCAGCAUAGGCAGGAUUGCUCGGUGGUGAGAAGGUUAGGUCCGGCUCAGACUGAAUAAGAAGAGAUAAAAUUUGCCUUAAAACUUACCUGGCAGUGGCUUUGCUGCACGGUCUGAAACCACCUGUUCCCACCCUCUUGACCGAAAUUUCCUUGUGACACAGAGAAGGGCAAAGGUCUGAGCCCAGAGUUGACGGAGGGAGUAUUUCAGGGUUCACUUCAGGGGCUCCCAAAGCGACAAGAUCGUUAGGGAGAGAGGCCCAGGGUGGGGACUGGGAAUUUAAGGAGAGCUGGGAACGGAUCCCUUAGGUUCAGGAAGCUUCUGUGUAAGCUGCGAGGAUGGCUUGGGCCGAAGGGUUGCUCUGCCCGCCGCGCUAGCUGUGAGCUGAGCAAAGCCCUGGGCUCACAGCACCCCAAAAGCCUGUGGCUUCAGUCCUGCGUCUGCACCACACAUUCAAAAGGAUCGUUUUGUUUUGUUUUUAAAGAAAGGUGAGAUUGGCUUGGUUCUUCAUGAGCACAUUUGAUAUAGCUCUUUUUCUGUUUUUCCUUGCUCAUUUCGUUUUGGGGAAGAAAUCUGUACUGUAUUGGGAUUGUAAAGAACAUCUCUGCACUCAGACAGUUUACAGAAAUAAAUGUUUUUUUUGUUUUUC